UACGUAGGUGGCAAGCGUUAUCCGGAAUUAUUGGCGUAAAGCGCGCGCAGGCGGUUUCUUAAGUCUGAUGUGAAAGCCCACGGCUCAACCGUGGAGGGUCAUUGGAAACUGGGGAACUUGAGUGCAGAAGAGAAAAGCGGAAUUCCACGUGUAGCGGUGAAAUGCGUAGAGAUGUGGAGGAACACCAGUGGCGAAGGCGGCUUUUUGGUCUGUAACUGACGCUGAGGCGCGAAAGCGUGGGGAGCAAACAGG
rnacentral:rRNA from 1 species